GUGGGGAAUAUUGGACAAUGGGCGAAAGCCUGAUCCAGCCAUGCCGCGUGUGUGAAGAAGGCCUUUUGGUUGUAAAGCACUUUAAGCGAGGAGGAGGCUACUUAGAUUAAUACUCUAGGAUAGUGGACGUUACUCGCAGAAUAAGCACCGGCUAACUCUGUGCCAGCAGCCGCGGUAAUACAGAGGGUGCGAGCGUUAAUCGGAUUUACUGGGCGUAAAGCGUGCGUAGGCGGCUUUUUAAGUCGGAUGUGAAAUCCCUGAGCUUAACUUAGGAAUUGCAUUCGAUACUGGGAAGCUAGAGUAUGGGAGAGGAUGGUAGAAUUCCAGGUGUAGCGGUGAAAUGCGUAGAGAUCUGGAGGAAUACCGAUGGCGAAGGCAGCCAUCUGGCCUAAUACUGACGCUGAGGUACGAAAGCAUGGGGAGCAAACAGGAUUAGAUACCCUUGUAGUCC
rnacentral:rRNA from 1 species